UACCCGUACCGUAAACCGACACAGGUGGAUGAGGAGAGAAUCCUAAGGCCGACGGGAGAAGCAUUGUUAAGGAACUCGGCAAAAUGACUCCGUAACUUCGGGAGAAGGAGUGCCAGUGAGAGCUGGCCGCAGAGAAUUGGCCCAAGCAACUGUUUAGCAAAAACACAGGUCUAUGCAAAACCGAAAGGUGAAGUAUAUGGGCUGACGCCUGCCCGGUGCUGGAAGGUUAAGGGGAGAGGUUAGCGGUAACGCGAAGCUUUGAACUUAAGCCCCAGUAAACGGCGGCCGUAACUAUAACGGUCCUAAGGUAGCGAAAUUCCUUGUCGGGUAAGUUCCGACCCGCACGAAAGGCGUAAUGAUUUGGGCACUGUCUCAACAAUGCACCCGGUGAAAUUGAAAUACCAGUGAAGAUGCUGGUUACCUGCGCCAGGACGGAAAGACCCCAUGGAGCUUUACUCCAGCUUGAUACUGGGAUUCGAUAUUGCAUGUACAGGAUAGGUGGGAGACUGAGAACUGAUGACGCCAGUUGUCAGGGAGUCACUGUUGGGAUACCACCCUUGUAGUAUUGGAUUUCUAACCAGCAGCCGUGAACCGGCUGGGGGACAAUGUCAGGUGGGGAGUUUGACUGGGGCGGUCGCCUCCGAAAGGGUAUCGGAGGCGCUCAAAGGUUCCCUCAGAAUGGUUGGAAACCAUUCGAAGAGUGCAAAGGCAGAAGGGAGCUUGACUGCGACACCGACGGGUGGAGCAGGUACGAAAGUAGGACUUAGUGAUCCGGUGGUAUAAAGUGGGAUUGCCAUCGCUCAACGGAUAAAAGCUACCCUGGGGAUAACAGGCUUAUCACUCCCAAGAGUUCACAUCGACGGAGUGGUUUGGCACCUCGAUGUCGGCUCAUCGCAUCCUGGGGCUGAAGUAGGUCCCAAGGGUUGGGCUGUUCGCCCAUUAAAGCGGUACGCGAGCUGGGUUCAGAACGUCGUGAGACAGUUCGGUCCCUAUC
rnacentral:rRNA from 1 species